rnacentral:rRNA from 1 species
GACGAACGCUGGCGGCAUGCCUAACACAUGCAAGUCGAACGAGACCUUCGGGUCUAGUGGCGCACGGGUGCGUAACGCGUGGGAACCUGCCCUUAGGUUCGGAAUAACUCCCCGAAAGGUGUGCUAAUACCGCAUAAUGUCUUCGCACCAAAGAUGUAUCGCUUUUGGAUGGGCCCGUGUUGGUUUAGCUAGUUGGUAGGGUAAAAGCCGACCAAGGCGACGAUGCAUGGCUGGUCUGAGAGGAUGCUAAUCCACAAUGGGACUGAGACACGGCCCAGCAUGCUACGGAAGGGAGCAGUGGGGAAUAUUGGAGAAUGGGGGAAAGCCUGAUCCAGCAACGCCGGGGGUGAGAUGAAGGCCUUAGGGUUGUAAAGCUGUUUUACACGAGAUGAUAAUGACAGUACCGGGAGAAUAAGCACCGGCUAACUCCGUG